AGCACAGGCCCACACAGUCUGACAAAGGACAGCUGCAAUCCUCUGUCAACUGCAGUCCUUUCCCAGGCACAUGCUGGAUUGGGAAACAGGUGGGAGAAAAGAACAGGCAUUUAUCAAGCACCUACUCUGUGCCUAGCAUUGUGCUAGGUGCUAGAGAGCCAAAAAUAAAUAGCAGCUGCUCUUGUGGAGGUCACAGUCUUGGAGGAGUUAAAGACACGGAAACAAAUUACAACACAGCGUAACAGCAGUGACAGAAGCACGUAUGAUAUGGUUUGACUGUGGCCCCAC
rnacentral:lncRNA from 10 species